CUGACUUAUUCCAGAAUUUUAUUAAUCCAGAUUAUUAAAUUUGAGAUUUAAAAGUGUCUAAACAUGUCAAAAACCUUGACCAGAAGCCGUUACAGCUCAGAAGUUUGCAUCACAUUUCAUUUCCUAAAAGUUGUUCUUUGUUUCUCCGAUAAAAAUCUCUUUUUUUGUGUUUUUAACGAGUUCUUUGAGGCGUUUCUCUGACAUAUAUGAAGAAAAUUAAUCUUAAAAUUGAGUAUUUCUUUGUUCAAAUUGUUGUGAAUCAGGAACAGACGAAAAAAGACGAUAGUAUUUGUCACGUAGCAAAAAUAUCCUGUCCUGCUCCAUCCUGAUGCAUCAACUUUUAGACAAAUAGAUCCAUGAACGUCUUUUUUUGAGCUGGAAUCUGGAUCAAAACUGUUCGGCUAAAUAGCUUCAAUAUUGUUUUCCGUUUUUGUUGCAGCGCUAAUGUCAGUUAGGUUGGGGAGUUGAGGGCUGUAAGCUAGUGAGAGAAACAGAUGAAUAAUCCGUACCAACAUUUCAACUCGCUAUUCUUCACCAUUUUUGUUGAUGAAGGAGCAUGGAAACAGAGAGCUCUCAGCUAGUAUGAGCGACAGGAAGUGGGGACGGGCUUGCCAACACAACUCAGAGGAGCCGCGCAGACAAUGGACGCGUCUAGACGUCCAGCUUGGAGGAUAACGAGGAGAAGAGGGAGCGCCAACGGGAGAGCAACAACAACCGACCGCCAGGACUUCAGCUCAAGCUGUGAACAACUCUAACGAAUGAGAAGAGACAGAAACAUAACCUUCUUCUCUUUUCGUCCCACCUCCCGCUUUUUUCCACGGGGAUUAUUCUGCCCCAAAUGUGGAAGAAGGCCAGAUGAAAGCGUCUCCCACGUCGGUCGUCCUCAAUCGUCUACUCAGAGCUCCACCUCUGGAGGAUGUGUUGUGUUUGGAGGUGUCGUCUCCCCCGUUUGGUCAGGUGAUGCAGCCGCUGUCUCAUGUAGAUGUUGGUGGUCAUCUCCCCCUGAUCUGCCUGGUUCCUCCACCAGCAGACAGUGGCUCCAGUGGUACCAGGUGUUGUUCUUGCCCUUCAGCCGAACAUCCUGGGAUGUUUGCUCCACCGUCGAGUGUCCACGAGGUUCAAACCACUUCCUUUGAUGAUCCCCAGGAGGACCUGAUCAGCUGUGUGUGGUUCUCUGGCUGUUCAUGGCUGUCUCAAACCUGCAAUGCAAAACCUGACACCAAAGCCUGCAAUCCAACAUGGUCUGACUGAACACCCCUUUGUCCCUGGGUCUUGUAGGCUUGUGGGAGGAGUCACCAAAACACACAUUUUAGGAUGAAUUCAUCCUAACACUCUAACUUCUGAUCGAUCUAAUUGAUUCAAAGUUUCACUUUCCCCACUUCAGCGGCAGUUCUUAUCUCUUUCUUUCUUCAGGACUUUGAACAAGAGAAAUCUGAGUAAAACAUGAAACCCACUUAAUGAUUAUCACCAGGAAUUAAAAUGCAAAAAGUAACUGUUAACAAGCAAGAAGUAAAUAAA